rnacentral:tRNA from 1 species
GGGGAUGUAGCUCAGUUGGGAGGGCGGAUGCUCACCAUGCAUAAAGCCCUAGGUUUAAUCCCCAGCACUGCA